UACGAAGGGGGCAAGCGUUGUUCGGAAUUACUGGGCGUAAAGGGCGCGUAGGCGGCCCGCUAAGUCGAACGUGAAAUCCCCGGGCUCAACCCGGGAACUGCGUCCGAUACUGGUGGGCUUGAAUCCGGGAGAGGGAUGCGGAAUUCCAGGUGUAGCGGUGAAAUGCGUAGAUAUCUGGAGGAACACCGGUGGCGAAGGCGGCAUCCUGGACCGGUAUUGACGCUGAGGCGCGAAAGCCAGGGGAGCAAACGGG
rnacentral:rRNA from 1 species